GACGAACGCUGGCGGCGUGCUUAACACAUGCAAGUCGAACGGAAAGGCCCUGCUUUUGUGGGGUGCUCGAGUGGCGAACGGGUGAGUAACACGUGAGUAACCUGCCCUUGACUUUGGGAUAACUUCAGGAAACUGGGGCUAAUACCGGAUAGGAGCUCCUGCUGCAUGGUGGGGGUUGGAAAGUUUCGGCGGUUGGGGAUGGACUCGCGGCUUAUCAGCUUGUUGGUGGGGUAGUGGCUUACGAAGGCUUUGACGGGUAGCCGGCCUGAGAGGGUGGCCGGCCACAUUGGGACUGAGAUACGGCGCAGACUCCUACGGGAGGCAGCAGGGGGGAAUAUUGCACAAUGGGCGGAAGCCUGAUGCAGCAGCGCCGCGUGCGGGAUGACGGCCUUCGGGUUGUAAACCGCUUUCGCCUGUGACGAAGCGUGAGUGACGGUAAUGGGUAAAGAAGCACCGGCUAACUACGUG
rnacentral:rRNA from 1 species